rnacentral:rRNA from 1 species
GAUCCAUGGCUCAGGAUGAACGCUAGCUACAGGCUUAACACAUGCAAGUCGAGGGGCAGCAUGGUCUUAGCUUGCUAAGGCCGAUGGCGACCGGCGCACGGGUGAGUAACACGUAUCCAACCUGCCGUCUACUCUUGGACAGCCUUCUGAAAGGAAGGUUAAUACAAGAUGGCAUCAUGAGUCCGCAUGUUCACAUGAUUAAAGGUAUUCCGGUAGACGAUGGGGA